rnacentral:rRNA from 1 species
AUUGAACGCUGGCGGAAUGCUUUACACAUGCAAGUCGAACGGUAGAGGGGGCAACCCCUCGAGAGUGGCGAACGGGUGAGUAAUAUAUCGGAACGUGCCCAGUCAUGGGGGAUAACGUAGCGAAAGUUACGCUAAUACCGCAUACGAUCUAAGGAUGAAAGCGGGGGAUCGCAAGACCUCGCGCGAUUGGAGCGGCCGAUAUCAGAUUAGGUAGUUGGUGGGGUAAAGGCUCACCAAGCCAACGAUCUGUAGCUGGUCUGAGAGGACGACCAGCCACACUGGAACUGAGACACGGUCCAGACUCCUACGGGAGGCAGCAGUGGGGAAUUUUGGACAAUGGACGCAAGUCUGAUCCAGCCAUUCCGCGUGCAGGAUGAAGGCCCUCGGGUUGUAAACUGCUUUUGUACGGAACGAAAAGGUCUCUCUUAAUACGGGGGACUCAUGACGGUACCGUAAGAAUAAGCACCGACUAACUACGUGCCAGCCGCCGCGGUAA